rnacentral:rRNA from 1 species
UACGGGGGGGGCAAGCGUUGUUCGGAAUUACUGGGCGUAAAGGGCUCGUAGGUGGCCAACUAAGUCAGACGUGAAAUCCCCUCAGCUUAACUGGGGAACUGCGUCUGAUACUGGAUGGCUUGAGUUUGGGAGAGGGAUGCGGAAUUCCAGGUGUAGCGGUGAAAUGCGUAGAUAUCUGGAGGAACACCGGUGGCGAAGGCGGCAUCCUGGACCAAUACUGACACUGAGGAGCGGAAAAGCCAGG